rnacentral:misc_RNA from 1 species
UACGAAGGGGGCUAGCGUUGCUCGGAAUUACUGGGCGUAAAGGGAGCGUAGGCGGACAGUUAAGUCAGAGGUGAAAGCCCAGGGCUCAACCCUGGAAUUGCCUUUGAAACUGGCUGUCUUGAGUUUGGGAGAGGUGUGUGGAACUCCGAGUGUAGAGGUGAAAUUCGUAGAUAUUCGGAAGAACACCAGUGGCGAAGGCGACACACUGGCCCAAUACUGACGCUGAGGCUCGAAAGCGUGGGGAGCAAACAGG